AACGCGAAGAACCUUACCAGGUCUUGACAUCGAGUGAAGAGCAUAGAGAUAUGUUCGUCUUCGGACACAAAGACAGGUGGUGCAUGGUUGUCGUCAGCUCGUGUCGCGAGAUGUUGGGUGAAGUCCCGCAACGAGCACCUCCUUACCAUUAGUUGCUACCUAAGAGCACUCUAAGGGGAGGGCCGUUGACAAAACAUACGAAGGUGGGGAUGAGGUCAAAUCAUCAUGAACCUUAUGACCUGGGCUACCCCCGUUACUACAAUGGCAAUCGACCUGAGGGAAGGAAUACAGCGAUGCAAAGCAAAACCCGAAAAAGUGUCUCACCUCGGAUUGGAGGCUGCUACCCGGCUGCAUGAAGUGCGAUUUGCUAGUAAUCCGAAACCACUGUGCUGCGCGAAUACGUUCUUGGUCUUGUACACACCG
rnacentral:rRNA from 1 species